rnacentral:rRNA from 1 species
GACGAACGCUGGCGGCGUGCUUAACACAUGCAAGUCGAACGGAAAGGCCCUGCUUUUGUGGGGUGCUCGAGUGGCGAACGGGUGAGUAACACGUGAGUAACCUGCCCUUGACUUUGGGAUAACUUCAGGAAACUGGGGCUAAUACCGGAUAGGAGCUCCUGCUGCAUGGUGGGGGUUGGAAAGUUUCGGCGGUUGGGGAUGGACUCGCGGCUUAUCAGCUUGUUGGUGGGGUAGUGGCUUACCAAGGCUUUGACGGGUAGCCGGCAUGGGAGGGUGACCGGCCACAUUGGGACUGAGAUACGGACCAGAAUCCUACGGGAGGCAGCAGUGGGGAAUAUUGCACAAUGGGCGGAAGCCUGAUGCAGCAACGCCGCGUGCGGGAUGACGGCCUUCGGGUUGUAAACCGCUUUCGCCUGUGACGAAGCGUGAGUGACGGUAAUGUGUAAAGAAGCACCGGCUAACUACGUG